AUUUAUUCUUGUUGCUGCCGAGCGUAGCUCGGCAGCACACUAAUCUCUACACGUGGUGUGCUUACCACGUGACCGCCGAGUUUAUAGCCGCUACAAUCUCGAUUUAUGUCAUUCUGUCAUCCACGGACGGGCCAAAACUAGCUGUUUUGAUAUUAUUUUUUUGUUCCCGGGGGGGUUUGUUCACAACAUGACGACUGUUAUAAACGGAC